rnacentral:rRNA from 1 species
CCUACGGGCGGCAGCAGUAGGGAAUAUUGCUCAAUGGGGGAAACCCUGAAGCAGCAACGCCGCGUGGAGGAUGAAGGUUUUAGGAAUGUAAACUCCUUUUGUUAGAGAAGAUUAUGACGGUAUCUAACGAAUAAGCACCGGCUAACACCGUGCCAGAAGCAGCGGUAAUACGGAGUGUGCAAGCGUUACUCGGAAUCACUGGGCGUACAGAGUACGUAGGCGGGGUAAUAGGUCAGUUGUGAAAUCCUGUUGCUUAACUACAGACAUGCAUUUGAAAAGGUUACUCUGGAGUGUGGGAGCGCUAGGUCGAAUUCUUGGUGUAGGGGUACAAUCCUGAGAGAUCAAGAGGAAUACUCAUUGCGAAGGCGACCUGCUGGAACAUUACUGACGCUGAUGCACGAACGCGUGGGGAGCAAACAGGAUUAGAUACCCUAGUAGUC